rnacentral:rRNA from 1 species
UGGUCAAGUUAUUAAGGGUGCAGGGCGGAUGCCUUGGCACUAGGAGCCGAUGAAGGACGUGAUAAGCUGCGAUAAGCUUCGGGGAGUUGCACGUAAACUUUGAUCCGAAGAUUUCCGAAUGAGGAAACUCACUUAGAGUAAUGUCUAAGUAUCAUUAAGUGAAUACAUAGCUUAAUGAGGGGAACUCAGGGAACUGAAACAUCUAAGUACCUGAAGGAAGAGAAAGAAAUUCGAUUCCGUAAGUAGCGGCGAGCGAACGCGGAUUAGCCCAAACCAAUAAAGUUUUCUUUAUUGGGGUUGCGGACAUAUCAUAACGAAGAGGUAUCGUAAUUGAAGAGGUUUGGAAAGACUCACCACAGAAGGUAAUAGUCCUGUAUGUUAAACGAGAAGACUUCAGAUAUGAUCCAGAGUACCACGGGACACGUGAAACCCUGUGGGAAGCAGGAGGG